rnacentral:rRNA from 1 species
AGCAGUAGCCGCGAUAAUACGUAGGUGGCAAGCGUUGUCCGGAAUUAUUGGGCGUAAAGGGCUCGCAGGCGGUUUCUUAAGUCUGAUGUGAAAGCCCCCGGCUCAACCGGGGAGGGUCAUUGGAAACUGGGAAACUUAAGUGCAGAAGAGGAGAGUGGAAUUCCACGUGUAGCGGUGAAAUGCGUAGAGAUGUGGAGGAACACCAGUGGCGAAGGCGACUCUCUGGUCUGUAACUGACGCUGAGGAGCGAAAGCGUGGGGAGCGAACAGGAUUAGAUACCCCAGUAGUCCCUGUCUCUUAUAC